UACCUACUUAAUUAUGUCUAAUUGGAGUUACGUAGGUACAAAUAUAAGGUCUAUCUAUAAAGGUAAUAAUUUGAUAGAUAAAACUUAGCGGGUGUAGCUGUGUGUAGGUGUGUCACACAUACCUACAUAAAAUUCAUAUAAUGAUGUUGAUAUCUCCUUUAAUUUGCUGUUACCAAAAGUCCUCUACGAAGCGAAGCUUACAUAAAUUACACACCAUCCAUCCGUUUAGUACGGGGAAGGUUACGACACGUGUGUUAAAAAUUGUUAACGAUUUGUUAGCAUCGUUGAUUCUAUUUACGUUUGCGAACAAUCAAUAUGUAAUAGGGAUUUCUUUAUAUAGAUAUUAUACUCUCUGCCCACUUAAGGCGCGGCACACACAGCAGCGAGCUACGCACAUAAAGGCAUUACCUACCUAUUACUGUAUUUCAAGGGCCGCCGGUGCUGCCGUAUUCAUUUACGCCAUGGUAUGGAUCACGAAGCAGUUGAAUUUGCUCCCAAGUCCUCCUGUUGAGCCGCCUGAGAUAACCACGCCCUUUUAUGACCGACAUGCAGUACCGCCAAAACUGCAAGGCUGAUCAGCACGAUUUCAUCAAUUUAUUACGAAAUAUAGGGUCUCUGGCGUGGGUCUGUUCGUGUACUUCAUGAUAUGGCUGACCAAGAAGUUGAAUGAGCUGCCGAGUCCCCCGAUGCCUCCAGAGACAACCACUCCAAUCCUUGACCGUCAUGUAAUCAAACCUCCUCCACAAGGCUGAAUGAAGCCUCAUAAUUGUGUAUACAGUAUAAUACAUUCUACACUACUUGUUAAGUUCUAUUAUCAAUAAAUUAAAUUGUAAAACUACUA